UACGUAGGGUGCAAGCGUUAAUCGGAAUUACUGGGCGUAAAGCGUGCGCAGGCGGUUCGUUAUGUCCGAUGUGAAAGCCCCGAGCUCAACUUGGGAAUGGCAUUGGAAACUGGCGGGCUGGAGUGUGGCAGAGGGGGGGUGGAAUUCCACGUGUAGCAGUGAAAUGCGUAGAGAUGUGGAGGAACACCGAUGGCGAAGGCAGCCCCCUGGGCCAACACUGACGCUCAGGCACGAAAGCGUGGGGAGCAAACAGG
rnacentral:rRNA from 1 species